rnacentral:rRNA from 1 species
AUAGAAUUAUAGGAAACUCCUCAGCGGAGCUGAUGAGUAUUUAAAUUCUAGAAAUCGAAGAUUUAAGAGUUUAAAUAUCUGGUGAUUAUGGCUUGAAGGUAACACCCGUUCCCAUGCCGAACACGAAGGUUAAGCUUCAAAGCGCUGAUGGUACUGCAGGGGAGGCCCUGUGGAAGAGUAAGUCGUUGCCAGAU